GGACAUGAAGUGGCGAACGGGUGAGUAAUACGUGACCAACCUGCCCCCUUGCUCCGGGACAACCUUGGGAAACCGAGGCUAAUACCGGAUACUCCUCGCCCCCCUCCUGGGGGGCCCGGGAAAGCCCAGACGGCAAGGGAUGGGGUCGCGGCCCAUUAGGUAGUAGGCGGGGUAACGGCCCACCUAGCCCGCGAUGGGUAGCCGGGUUGAGAGACCGACCGGCCACAUUGGGACUGAGAUACGGCCCAGACUCCUACGGGAGGCAGCAUG
rnacentral:rRNA from 1 species